rnacentral:lncRNA from 1 species
UGAAAAAAAAAAAAACAAGUCUUUCUGGCAUAAGGAUGAUUUUCAUCUGGUCAUUUUGAAACAUUUUUGUAAAAUAAAUUUACAUCUAUAAAGAACAUUUUUAUUUGUAAGGAGGGGUAUGUCUCUGUGCACUGGAAGAGAGGGAGGACUAAAUCACUGGGAAGUCUUAUGAUAAAGAAGCCAUUGGCUUAAAUCAGCAAAGCAAGCCGUCCCUUGGUUUAAGGUGUUUUUCCUGGCCAUCCUGUCUUGACUAGAACUUUACCUACACCUUCCUUUUUGGUUUAGGCAAAUUAUAGUAUCUAAAACUGAAGUCUCAGCUCUGUGUCUUUGAGAUAUAAAUGUUCUACCAUGUCUUCUCUGGAACCUGAUAACUAUCUAUCUCUUUAAAAUGCAAGUCUAGGGAGAUGACUCAUCAGAAAAAGAAGAAAAAAGAGGUAUUUGGAAAUUGUGCAAAUUAAAGCAGCCCCUGAUGCCAAAGUCUACACAUUCCUGAGUGAGUCAGUUCUGGCCAGUUCUAGCUGGAUCAAGAGAGCUCUGCUGGGCAGGCCUGAAGAGCACCUGGAUGGCAGACACCUGAGGAGCCAGGUGCCUGAAACUUCCUCCACCUACUUGAGGAGCGCCAAAGCCCAGGUGCUGGCUGGACAACCCCUUCUGGCUGCCUAAGCAGAUGGCAGAAGAAGGAAACAAGCCCCCACAUCACCCAACCAACCAGCAGAGAUCCUCCUUCCCAAGAAACAGAUAAAGAAACUGAGGCCCAGGAAGGCUAAGAGUCCUGCCAGGAUUAUUCACCUUUCAAGCAGCCAAGCAAGCACUGGCUGUGAGAGAUGGCUGUGAGAGAAGAUUAAAACAAUUACAACUCACCCAGUUCACAGAUGCUGAGUAACUGAUCUCCUGCCCCACUAACCUUAACGACAGCUUUCUCUGGACAAGGGACUGAUUUCAGUAACUUUCUCCUGAUAAGAGACCAUCCUCCAUGGACUGGUUCUGGCCAGUUUUAGAGGCUGUGCCUUUACGAGGCUGAGUACCUUCAUGUCCCUGCUUCACUUUUUGAUGUGUAGGGCCUAAUUAUAAUACAUUUAAAUGUCAAGUCUCCACCCCAGAAUGAACAUGCAUGUUUAUUGAAUAUGCAUGUGUUAGGACCUCUUUUAUGAGUAUUCUCAUAAAAUGAUAUAGCUCCUCUGAUAUCCUAUUGAGUAUGUAUAUGUAGCCAACUCAUUUGGCUCAAAUUCCUGUCCUCUCCCUCCCUCCCUGGAAAUGCCUGCCUCUGGCCUUGGCUGUAGGCCACACUUCCCAGCCUGUCAUAAUGGCCACC